ACUUCUGUGGCCAAGUGGUUAGAGCAUCCGUCUUAGAUGCAGGAGGUCAUGGGUUCGAACCCUGGCUGAAUCA